rnacentral:rRNA from 1 species
GACGAACGCUGGCGGCGUGCUUAACACAUGCAAGUCGAACGGAAAGGCCCUGCUUUUGUGGGGUGCUCGAGUGGCGAACGGGUGAGUAACACGUGAGUAACCUGCCCUUGACUUUGGGAUAACUUCAGGAAACUGGGGCUAAUACCGGAUAGGAGCUCCUGCUGCAUGGUGGGGGUUGGAAAGUUUCGGCGGUUGGGGAUGGACUCGCGGCCUAUCAGCUUGUUGGUGGGGUAGUGGCUUACCAAGGCUUUGACGGGUAGCCGGCCUGAGAGGGUGACCGGCCACAUUGGGACUGAGAUACGGCCCAGACUCCUACGGGAGGCAGCAGUGGGGAAUAUUGCACAAUGGGCGGAAGCCUGAUGCAGCAACGCCGCGUGCGGGAUGACGGCCUUCGGGUUGUAAACCGCCUUCGCCUGUGACGAAGCGUGAGUGACGGUAAUGGGUAAAGAAGCACCGGCUAACUACGUG